rnacentral:misc_RNA from 1 species
CAGAACGACCUCGGUCGAUCUCAUCCUCGCUGUGCGGCUUCGGCCUGCACGCUUGGAAUCCACACACCUGUGCACUUCGUUCGGGGUUCGCCCCGUUCGCCACACUUACUAUACGUCUCGAAUGUCUACACUAUACAAUA